rfam:Homo sapiens chromosome 4, GRCh38 reference primary assembly.
GCCAGGCGUGGUGGCUCACGCCUGUAAUCUCAGCACUUUGGGAGGCUGAGGCGGGUGGAUCACUUGAGGUCAGGAGUUCAAGACCAGCCUGGCCAACAUGGUGAAACCCCGUCUCUA